UCUGGAUAAACACAGCUACUUGGCAAUACAACCUUCGGGCGCUAUGAAGACUGAAUCCUGAGGAUGAACAGGAUGUUUAUGUUCUAAAGUAGCUUAUUUAUUUUGGCCCCCAUGUGAAUCCAAACUAUAUGACUAUUAGAUCAGCCAUUAUUUGUUUUUUUAAGGGAAAGAACCUCACUUUGAGAUGGGCAUGCUGGGAUAGAGAAAAGAAAAGGAGUUACUGAAAGCUUUGUCUACAAGUGUCUACAGGGAAUGCAUCUCUGACCACACCCGGUCGUUGAAGGAAGUAAAUGUGAAAGCAUCCAGCUCAGAGGUGGCAGAGCAGGUGCUGCACACACACUUAUUUAAUCCACUUACAGAUAACCACCCCAAGGGGUAGAAGUUUCUAUUAGUUUAAAAGAAAGCAAGAAAGCAAGAAAGCAAGAAAGCAAGAAAGCAAGAAAGCAAGAAAGCAAGAAAGCAAGAAAGCAAGAAAGCAAGAAAGCAAGAAAGCAAGAAAGCAAGAAAGAAAGAAAGAAAGAAAGAAAGAAAGAAAGAGCCUUUAGCCUCUUCAGUAUCAUCAGGGCAAACUCCACCUCUCCUCUCCCCCAAAUAUCUCGCCUUCGGGAGUUAGGACAUUUUGUCCUGUUACACCAACACCGUCAGCACCACUGACACUAGGCGCUCAGAGCACAGCAGCAGAGCUCAGUCCGCAGCCUCCACAGAGCCGAGAAGGAAGCCAAGACUUCCAUUUACAGGCCACGGGACACUCUCAUCGCAUGUCGGGCUUCACGGGAAAUGGGCUGUGGGAGGAGAUGCUGCAUGCCUAGUUGGCAUGUUCAUAUUGGGUGUCUGGAACAGGAGGCAGGUUUAUAUUUUCAUGUAUGAAAAACUGGGGGAAGAACAGUUUUCAUCUCAGCCUGAAAGACUGGUUUCAGGCUCUGAGAAUAAAGAGUUGGACAGAAGCAGGGUAACGUGUUUCUGAACAG